GGACACUUCAACUGCAGCUUCCUGGUCAAUUUCCUUCUUGGUUCGAUGGCGCACGAACAGGGGCUUGCCUCUCCAUUUGAAAGCCAUGUUCUUCCCCUCUGGAAUAUCGGAUAGCUUGAUUUCAAUUUUCGACAUGGCCAACACGUCGGCAGAAGCGCUCAUGCUGGAAACAAACUGAGAGACGACAUUCUUGGCGGCAUAUGCGACACCCACAGUAGUUGUUGCAGUCACCAAAUAGGAGAAACCUUUCCGAGCCUCACUGCUCUCUUUCGAAGACUUUGUACUAUCU
rnacentral:misc_RNA from 1 species